ensembl:lncRNA
CAAGUUUCUCUGUGAAUUUCACAUUACGUGGUAGCGCACUCGCUGCUUGCUUGGAAGUUUAGGGGGUUUUUUUCGCUGUAAAAAGAAGUUUUCUUCCCACGCACAACGGACACUAAUGUUUUUGUCACUUUUUAUAGAAUCAAACUCAAAAUAAGUUCUGAUCUCACUGCUGAGCUGCACAACAAACCAAGCUCGUCUGACUGUGAGUCCCAGCAGCUCUCAGUUCUUUGAAUAUGACUUUUUGUCUCUGAGCUGUGAGGAGGACGACAGCUCUGCUGGAUGGACUCUGAGGAGAAACACAAGCACAGAAACCAGAGCUGAAUGUGAGGAGUGGGGAAAGCCAACUAGUUUAGCUCAUCCUUCCUGCAUUAUCACUUACAUCAUCCUGCAAGACAGUGGAGUUUACUGGUGUGAGUCCAGAGAGGGUCCCAUCAGUAACAUGGUUAACCUGACAGUCACUG